AUUGAACGCUGGCGGCAGGCUUAACACAUGUAAGUCGAGCGAGCGGCGGACGGGUGAGUAAUGUCUGGGAAACUGCCUGAUGGAGGGGGAUAACUACUGGAAACGGUAGCUAAUACCGCAUACCAUCUGAUGUGCCCAGAUGGGAUGAGCUAGUGGGUGGGGUAAUGGCUCACCUAGGCGACAAUCCCACGCGGGUCUGAGAGGAUGACCAGCCACACUGGAACUGAGACACGGUCCAGACUCCUACGGGAGGAAGCGUUGGGGAAUAUUGCACAAUGGGCGCAAGCCUGAUGCAGCCAUGCCGCGGGUGUGAAGAAGGCCUUCGGGUUGUAAAGCACGUUCAGCGAGGAGGCGUUACUCGCACAAGAAGCACCGGCUAACUACGUGCCAGCAGCCGCGGUAAUUC
rnacentral:rRNA from 1 species